rnacentral:rRNA from 1 species
AACGCGAAGAACCUUACCUGGGCUCGAAAUGUAGUGGACCGGAGUGGAAACAUUCCUUCCCCGCAAGGGGCUGCUAUAUAGGUGCUGCAUGGCUGUCGUCAGCUCGUGUCGUGAGAUGUUGGGUUAAGUCCCGCAACGAGCGCAACCCUUGUUACCAGUUGCUACCAUUUAGUUGAGCACUCUGGUGAGACCGCCUCGGAUAACGGGGAGGAAGGCGGGGAUGACGUCAAGUCCUCAUGGCCUUUAUGUCCAGGGCUACACACGUGCUACAAUGGCCGGUACAAACCGUUGCAAACCCGCGAGGGGGAGCUAAUCGGAAAAAGCCGGCCUCAGUUCGGAUUAGAGUCUGCAACUCGACUCUAUGAAGCUGGAAUCGCUAGUAAUCGCGGAUCAGAACGCCGCGGUGAAUACGUUCCCGGGCCUUGUACACACCGCUCGCGA